UACGUAGGGUGCGAGCGUUGUCCGGAAUUAUUGGGCGUAAGGAGCUCGUAGGCGGUUUGUCGCGUCUGCUGUGAAAUCCCGAGGCUCAACCUCGGGCCUGCAGUGGGUACGGGCAGACUGGAGUGCGGUAGGGGAGAAUGGAACUCCUGGUGUAGCGGUGGAAUGCGCAGAUAUCAGGAGGAACACCGGUGGCGAAGGCGGUUCUCUGGGCAUUACCUGACGCUGAGGAGCGAAAGUGUGGGGAGCGAACAGG
rnacentral:rRNA from 1 species